UGCAGAGUGCAUAGUAAGGUCUGUUUAAUUAAGGUUUGUCAGGUUAGUCCCUCAGACCUUGCAGACACCUAGAGGAAGACCCUCACCCUAUGCAGAAGGCAAUGAAGAGGCUGAUAAGAAGAUGGAUGAAUAUAAGUGCCAAAGUGUCUGGUGCCCUGUGAUAAAGAAAUUGUGGGGCAAGUUGUUGCAGCUAAGAAGGCUGCAGAUGAGAUGCACCCAGGAGCUGUGGUCUUCUGGUGAGACUUUCUACUGCUUUGAAUUGUGAGGUUUUCUGCAGAGGGAUUUCUUACUGUGGAAGGACUAAGGCAUGUCAGUUCCGUCAGGUUCUGCCUAUGGACCUGGCUGUUUCUGGAAACAGGAGAGGAUGGAAGUCAUGUUUUUGUAAAGGGCUGUGCUGCUGUGGACGUGAUGACUGAGACAUUCAAAUUUGUGAGUGAAAUACGU